rnacentral:lncRNA from 1 species
CACACACUCGCGCGCUCACGCACGCCCCGCCUGCAGGGGCCAGCGGCGGCAGGAGGCCCGAUCUUCCCAUGUUGAUUCCUGAGAGAGUGGCCAAGGCACAUGGGCUCGUGGCCAGGAUUCAUUCAUCCAUUCACUCCGGCAUUUACUGAGCGCCUACAAUGCGUCAGGCACGUGGGGCUCGAACACCAAAAGUCCCUUCUGAAGAGGGCUUUCUGGAUCAUCCCAACCCCAAUUUCUUGAUCUUCAACGUAAGUUGGUAUUCUCAUGGCACUAAAGGAACCAGUAAAGACUUUCAAAUCCGGUGUCUGUGUGUGUGUGUGUUGUGUGUGUGUGUGUGUGUGUGUGUGUGAGAGAGAGAGAGAGAGAGAGGAAGAGAGAGACAGAGAAACAAAGUUCCUAUGUUAAAGUUGCUGUCCCUUUAUGUCUGGUAAGAGGGACAUUCCUCUGCCUAAGCUUGAAUCUGGCUACUCCCUAACUGUGUGCCAUUAAGCUACAUAACCAGCGUAUGCCUCACUUUUCUCAUCUGUAAAGUGGGAUUAUUAAGAUAGCCUCUACUUCAUAGGGCCAUUUUGAGUAUUUAAAUCAAUUCAUUUAAAACUCCUAGAACAAGCACCAAGC